GUGGAUGUAGCUCAGUGGUAGAGCACUUGUCUAGCAUGCACAAGACCCUGGGUUCAUUCCCCAGUAACACCA
rnacentral:tRNA from 1 species